GUUGGGUAGGGGAGCGUUCUGUAAGCCUGUGAAGGUGUGUCGUGAGGCAUGCUGGAGGUAUCAGAAGUGCGAAUGCUGACAUAAGUAACGAUAAAGCGGGUGAAAAGCCCGCUCGCCGGAAGACCAAGGGUUCCUGUCCAACGUUAAUCGGGGCAGGGUGAGUCGACCCCUAAGGCGAGGCCGAAAGGCGUAGUCGAUGGGAAACGGGUUAAUAUUCCCGUACUUGGUGUUACUGCGAAGGGGGGACGGAGAAGGCUAUGUUGGCCGGGCGACGGUUGUCCCGGUUUAAGCGUGUAGGUGUGUGUUCCAGGUAAAUCCGGUUCACUUUAACACUGAGGCGUGAUGACGAGGCACUACGGUGCUGAAGCAACAAAUGCCCUGCUUCCAGGAAAAGCCUCUAAGCAUCAGGUAACAUCAAAUCGUACCCCAAACCGACACAGGUGGUCAGGUAGAGAAUACCAAGGCGCUUGAGAGAACUCGGGUGAAGGAACUAGGCAAAAUGGUGCCGUAACUUCGGGAGAAGGCACGCUGACACGUAGGUGAAGUGAUUUACUCACGGAGCUGAAGUCAGUCGAAGAUACCAGCUGGCUGCAACUGUUUAUUAAAAACACAGCACUGUGCAAACACGAAAGUGGACGUAUACGGUGUGACGCCUGCCCGGUGCCGGAAGGUUAAUUGAUGGGGUCAGCGCAAGCGAAGCUCCUGAUCGAAGCCCCGGUAAACGGCGGCCGUAACUAUAACGGUCCUAAGGUAGCGAAAUUCCUUGUCGGGUAAGUUCCGACCUGCACGAAUGGCGUAAUGAUGGCCAGGCUGUCUCCACCCGAGACUCAGUGAAAUUGAACUCGCUGUGAAGAUGCAGUGUACCCGCGGCAAGACGGAAAGACCCCGUGAACCUUUACUAUAGCUUGACACUGAACAUUGAGCCUUGAUGUGUAGGAUAGGUGGGAGGCUUUGAAGCGUGGACGCCAGUCUGCGUGGAGCCGACCUUGAAAUACCACCCUUUAAUGUUUGAUGUUCUAACGUGGACCCGUAAUCCGGGUUGCGGACAGUGUCUGGUGGGUAGUUUGACUGGGGCGGUCUCCUCCUAAAGAGUAACGGAGGAGCACGAAGGUUGGCUAAUCCUGGUCGGACAUCAGGAGGUUAGUGCAAUGGCAUAAGCCAGCUUGACUGCGAGCGUGACGGCGCGAGCAGGUGCGAAAGCAGGUCAUAGUGAUCCGGUGGUUCUGAAUGGAAGGGCCAUCGCUCAACGGAUAAAAGGUACUCCGGGGAUAACAGGCUGAUACCGCCCAAGAGUUCAUAUCGACGGCGGUGUUUGGCACCUCGAUGUCGGCUCAUCACAUCCUGGGGCUGAAGUAGGUCCCAAGGGUAUGGCUGUUCGCCAUUUAAAGUGGUACGCGAGCUGGGUUUAGAACGUCGUGAGACAGUUCGGUCCCUAUCUGCCGUGGGCGCUGGAGAACUGAGGGGGGCUGCUCCUAGUACGAGAGGACCGGAGUGGACGCAUCACUGGUGUUCGGGUUGUCAUGCCAAUGGCACUGCCCGGUAGCUAAAUGCGGAAGAGAUAAGUGCUGAAAGCAUCUAAGCACGAAACUUGCCCCGAGAUGAGUUCU
rnacentral:rRNA from 1 species